UGCAUAUGCUCGAUACUUGUAACGUUUUGUUGGUUGGGGUGGGGGGGUCCCUUCCAGUUGUCGAGCACAUUACAAGGCAACGAGGCAAGCUCUCCCGCAAGCAUGCGAUGCGCGUCCACGUGGCCGGUGGAGCGCGUGACAGAUCAGCGCCGCUAACGCAGCCCCCCGCGGCUUCAGGGUUUGCCCCUCCUGAAGAGCACCAAUCUGAGAUGGCUACAUGGAGGGGGCGGGAAGGAUAGUUUGAGAAGGGCUGAGCUUUUUUUUUUGAGCGAGGACGCCAAUUUCUCUGUUAUUCUAUCACUGACAACAAGCAAAAAAAUAAAAAAUAAAAACAAAAUAAAGGAAUCCCAAAAGGCAGCAGAGAGACAUCAGCCGGACCACGCGUCAGAACCUCAUUAACUCCAAAGACCGGAGGGGGGGAAAGAAGCAGAAACAGCAGGAAGACGAUCUUUUUUUUUCUUUUUUUCUUUUUUUUAUACAAGUGGAGUCCUCUGUCUAAAUUGCUAUGGCUGCUGCGUUUUGGAACCUUGAACGCCCGCACUCGGCCUUGCGGCUCUUCCUCCUAUGCCUCAGCAUGAUUCCGCAAGCCAGUGCCGUCGUUGGACACAGAGAGCCGCUGCCCGAUGACAGUAACAAUAUCACAAUUUUCACCCGAAUCUUAGACAGACUGUUGGAUGGUUAUGACAACAGACUACGUCCUGGGCUGGGAGGUAAGGCUCGUACCGUUGCUACUUUCUAUUGCAUGUUUGCUCGCACGUUUCAAUGGCACGCCAAUACGAGCAACCAUUGUCCCUUAAGUGAAAGACUCCCGACGUGAGUCGCCUACAUAUGUCCGGAGAACGCUAAGCCAUUUCAACCAAUUCUUCCUCAAAGUGAACCCACAUGCUUGAGCAGACUUUUCUCAGUCAUCCAGCUGGAAUGGUUGUUUCUGCUUCAAUGCAUGCUGUUAAGGCCACAAGCGUAGCUACCAGGCUGCAAGACCACCAAGCUACGAGACUCCGAAGCCGCAACCAGGCAGAGGAAUCUGGCACAAUGCAUUCAAGUCUCUUUUUUUGUCUUAUUCAGAAAAUGUGGGGUCGGUUCUGGUUGAAACGCUACAGUUAGAGAAAAGCAAUCACCGCAAGUGAUUUCCUCCUUCAGAUUUAUCUCUUAUAAAAAGUUGCGCAGCUGCGAAAUAGCAAUCAUCCCACAUACAGCGGGAGAUAAUCAUGCGCAAACAUCUA